rnacentral:rRNA from 1 species
AGUGAACGCUGGCGGUAGGCCUAACACAUGCAAGUCGAACGGCAGCACAGUAAGAGCUUGCUCUUACGGGUGGCGAGUGGCGGACGGGUGAGGAAUACAUCGGAAUCUACUUUUUCGUGGGGGAUAACGUAGGGAAACUUACGCUAAUACCGCAUACGACCUACGGGUGAAAGCAGGGGAUCUUCGGACCUUGCGCGAUUGAAUGAGCCGAUGUCGGAUUAGCUAGUUGGCGGGGUAAAGGCCCACCAAGGCGACGAUCCGUAGCUGGUCUGAGAGGAUGAUCAGCCACACUGGAACUGAGACACGGUCCAGACUCCUACGGGAGGCAGCAGUGGGGAAUAUUGGACAAUGGGCGCAAGCCUGAUCCAGCCAUACCGCGUGGGUGAAGAAGGCCUUCGGGUUGUAAAGCCCUUUUGUUGGGAAAGAAAAGCAGCAGGUUAAUACCCCGCUGUUCUGACGGUACCCAGGGAAUAAGCACCGGCUAACUUCGUG